GGGGCGUAUUUGGUCUCGACGUAGUGAUGUGUGUUUUAAGAGCAUGUCGAGGUUUUGAAUGAAUCUCGUUAAAAAACAUUCAUAAACCAAUAAAUGAAGCAUCUAAUAAUGCUUCUUCUUAUGCUUUUGCUUAAUUAGCAAAACUAAGAAGCUUGAACAAUGAUCGUAUCUAUCCGUGAUUUGUUCUCGUAUUAACCAAUGAUAGGUCUUUUGGAUAAGGAUUUUUUGUUGUGUAGUCCAAAAGUAUCACACAACCGGCUCUUACUCAUUUUGUGCUCUUGAGGAGGGGUAAGAGAAUAUUCGAGAGCUAAACAUGUAGUGCUUAAAGCAUGUGUUGCUCCACCA
rnacentral:tmRNA from 1 species